rnacentral:ncRNA from 1 species
UGGGCAAACCUAUCGAAAGAUAGGGACGCAAAGCCAAAGGGUCUAAACCAAUGAGGGUAUGACAGCCGGUUGC